rnacentral:rRNA from 1 species
GGCCUAAUACAUGCAAGUCGAGCGGACGAUUCAAAACCUUGAUUUUGGAUCGUUAGCGGCGGACGGGUGAGUAACACGUGGGCAACCUGCCCCGUAGACGGGGAUAACACCGAGAAAUCGGUGCUAAUACCGGAUAACACGGAAGACCGCAUGGUUUUUCGUUGAAAGGCGGCGCAAGCUGUCGCUACAGGAUGGGCCCGCGGCGCAUUAGCUAGUUGGUGAGGUAACGGCUCACCAAGGCGACGAUGCGUAGCCGACCUGAGAGGGUGAUCGGCCACACUGGGACUGAGACACGGCCCAGACUCCUACGGGAGGCAGCAGUAGGGAAUCUUCCGCAAUGGACGAAAGUCUGACGGAGCAACGCCGCGUGAGCGAAGAAGGCCUUCGGGUCGUAAAGCUCUGUUGUUAGGGAAGAACAAGUACCGCAGCCACUGGCGGUACCUUGACGGUACCUAACGAGAAAGCCACGGCUAACUACGUGCCAGCAGCCGCGGUAAUACGUAGGUGGCAAGCGUUGUCCGGAAUUAUUGGGCGUAAAGCGCGCGCAGGCGGUUCCUUAAGUCUGAUGUGAAAGCCCACGGCUCAACCGUGGAGGGUCAUUGGAAACUGGGGGACUUGAGUGCAGAAGAGGAGAGCGGAAUUCCACGUGUAGCGGUGAAAUGCGUAGAGAUGUGGAGGAACACCAGUGGCGAAGGCGGCUCUCUGGUCUGUAACUGACGCUGAGGCGCGAAAGCGUGGGGAGCAAACAGGAUUAGAUACCCUGGUAGUCCACG